UGUAAGCACUGCAGCUUUAAAUAGUGCUGCAUCAAGCCCUGGAUUCCUUCCAUAGCCGAGCUGCAAAAUGGUAACUAGAAAGGAGGAAAAAAUGCCUCUUCCUCCCUCCCGGCCAGCCCUUCCACAGCUCCCGUCAGGGCAGCUAGCGCGAGCCCAUCCCCCACGCCUCCCAGCCCAGGCGCGCGGCGGGCACAGGUGAGCCGGGCGCCAACCUCGGCCCUCGGGCUCGCCCACAUCCGGGGAUCAAGGUCAAGGGCGAGGGCUUCCUUCCCCCGCCCCCGGCCCCCCGGCAGCCCCGAGCCCGGGAUCUGCUGCCAAAGUUUCAGGCCGGGCUGCGGCCGGCGCGGCUGUCGCAGCUCCCCCGCCCUCCCGCACCUGCUCGGCCCGUCCGGGUCGGAGGACAGCGCCCACCUGGUCCCCACUCACCUCUAGCGGACAUGGUUGGUGCAGGCAGCGGGAGCUGCCGCUGGAAGGCGGAGGACAGCCCCGCGGGGCGCGGGAGAAAGGCAGCCCCGCAGCGCCUGCCCGGCCCCGGCGCCCUCCGGCUCGCGGUGUUGCAGCAAGAGCACUGGUCUGCCAUGACCUGCUGCAUUCUACCUGGAAGUACAAGUCAAAAGUCAGCCUGUCAUACUUUUUCGAAAGAUGACUUGUCAAAAUGAGACUUCAUUCAUAAAAUCAGUCUGGCUGGACACAGUGGCUCAUGCCUGUAAUCCUAGCACCUUGGGAGGCUGAGGUAGGUGGAUAGCUUGAGCCCAGAAGUUUGAGACCAGCCCGGGCAACAUGGCAAAACCCCACCUCUACAAAAAAUACAAAAAUUACCCAGAUGUAGUGUCACACACCUGUGGUCCCAGGUACUAGGGAGACUGAGAUAGGAGGAUCACCUGAGCCCAGAAGAUUGACUGCCCUGAGCCAGGAUUGGGCCACUGCACUUCAGUUUGGAGGAGAGAGUGAAACUCUGUCUCAAAACAAACAAACAAAACCUCUCAAUCUGUCCAAAUAGGCAGAUUGUCUUCCAUAAUCUUCCACCAUGGUCUUCCUUUGUGAAGUUUCUACUACUACUCUGAUGCUACACGAUUAAGGAAUAUCGUUGUCACUGUCUUUCUAAAUUUGUUGUUCAAUACUUCCUUUCCCCCUCAUUCAUCAUCCAGACAUACAUUUUAAUAAUAUCAAACUCCUUGUAGUUCCCCUAAAUAAAUCAUGUUGUUUCCCUCA